rnacentral:rRNA from 1 species
UAGUGGCAGACGGGUGAGUAACGCGUGGGAAGCUACCUUGUGGUAGGGAACAACAGUUGGAAACGACUGCUAAUACCCUAUGAGCCCUAUGGGGGAAAGAUUUAUCGCCAUGAGAUGUGCCCGCGUUAGAUUAGCUAGUUGGUAAGGUAAUGGCUUACCAAGGCGACGAUCUAUAGCUGGUCUGAGAGGAUGAUCAGCCACACUGGGACUGAGACACGGCCCAGACUCCUACGGGAGGCAGCAGUGGGGAAUAUUGGACAAUGGGGGCAACCCUGAUCCAGCCAUGCCGCGUGAGUGAUGACGGCCUUAGGGUUGUAAAGCUCUUUCAGCAGUGAAGAUAAUGACAUUAACUGCAGAAGAAGCCCCGGCUAACUUCGUGCCAGCAGCCGCGGUAAUACGAAGGGGGCUAGCGUUGUUCGGAAUCACUGGGCGUAAAGCGUACGUAGGCGGACUGAUCAGUCAGGGGUGAAAUCCCGGGGCUCAACCCCGGAACUGCCUUUGAUACUGUCAGUCUUGAGAUCGAGAGAGGUGAGUGGAACUCCGAGUGUAGAGGUGAAAUUCGUAGAUAUUCGGAAGA